rnacentral:rRNA from 1 species
ACGGCGAGUGAAGCGGCAACAGCUCAAAUUUGAAAUCUGGCCCUCGGGUCCGAAUUGUAAUUUGUAGAGGAUGAUUUUGGUGCGGUAUCUUCCGAGUUCCUUGGAACAGGACGCCUUAGAGGGUGAGAGCCCCGUACGGUUGAAUGCCUAGCCUCUGUAAAUCUCCUUCGACGAGUCGAGUAGUUUGGGAAUGCUGCUCUAAAUGGGAGGUAAAUUUCUUCUAAAGCUAAAUAUUGGCCAGAGACCGAUAGCGCACAAGUAGAGUGAUCGAAAGAUGAAAAGCACUUUGAAAAGAGGGUUAAAUAGCACGUGAAAUUGUUGAAAGGGAAGGAUUUGUGACCAGACUUUUUCUGGGCGGAUCAUCCGGGGUUCUCUCCGGUGCACUUUGCCCAGUAAAGGCCAGCAUCGAUUUUCGGCGGCGGAUAAAAGCAGUGGGAAUGUGGCUCCUUACGGGGAGUGUUAUAGCCCAUUGUAUAAUACGCUGCUGGGGAUCGAGGUACGCGCUUCUGCAAGGAUGCUGGCGUAAUGGUUAUCAAUCACCCGUCUUGAAACACGGACCAAGGAGUCGAACAUUUAUGCGAGUGUUUGGGUGUUAAACCCUCACGCGUAAUGAAAGUGAACGGAGGUGAGAGCCUGUAUGGGUGCAUCAUCGACCGAUCCUGAAGUUUUCGGAUGGAUUUGAGUAAGAGCAUAACUGUUCGGACCCGAAAGAUGGUGAACUAUGCGUGGAUAGGGUGAAGCCAGAGGAAACUCUGGUGGAGGCUCGCAGCGGUUCUGACGUGCAAUCGAUCGUCAAUCUGCGCAU